CAGAAGGGAGCUUGCUCCCGGAUGUUAGCGGCGGACGGGUGAGUAACACGUGGGUAACCUGCCUGUAAGACUGGGAUAACUCCGGGAAACCGGAGCUAAUACCGGAUAGUUCCUUGAACCGCAUGGUUCAAGGAUGAAAGACGGUUUCGGCUGUCACUUACAGAUGGACCCGCGGCGCAUUAGCUAGUUGGUGGGGUAAUGGCUCACCAAGGCGACGAUGCGUAGCCGACCUGAGAGGGUGAUCGGCCACACUGGGACUGAGACACGGCCCAGACUCCUACGGGAGGCAGCAGUAGGGAAUCUUCCGCAAUGGACGAAAGUCUGACGGAGCAACGCCGCGUGAGUGAUGAAGGUUUUCGGAUCGUAAAGCUCUGUUGUUAGGGAAGAACAAGUGCGAGAGUAACUGCUCGCACCUUGACGGUACCUAACCAGAAAGCCACGGCUAACUACGUGCCAGCAGCCGCGGUAAUACGUAGGUGGCAAGCGUUGUCCGGAAUUAUUGGGCGUAAAGGGCUCGCAGGCGGUUUCUUAAGUCUGAUGUGAAAGCCCCCGGCUCAACCGGGGAGGGUCAUUGGAAACUGGGAAACUUGAGUGCAGAAGAGGAGAGUGGAAUUCCACGUGUAGCGGUGAAAUGCGUAGAGAUGUGGAGGAACACCAGUGGCGAAGGCGACUCUCUGGUCUGUAACUGACGCUGAGGAGCGAAAGCGUGGGGAGCGAACAGGAUUAGAUACCCUGGUAGUCCACGCCGUAAACGAUGAGUGCUAAGUG
rnacentral:rRNA from 1 species